rnacentral:rRNA from 1 species
GAUGAACGCUGGCGGCGUGCCUAAUACAUGCAAGUCGAGCGAACAGACGAGGAGCUUGCUCCUCUGACGUUAGCGGCGGACGGGUGAGUAACACGUGGAUAACCUACCUAUAAGACUGGGAUAACUUCGGGAAACCGGAGCUAAUACCGGAUAACAUGUUGAACCGCAUGGUUCAACAGUGAAAGACGGUCUUGCUGUCACUUAUAGAUGGAUCCGCGCCGCAUUAGCUAGUUGGUAAGGUAACGGCUUACCAAGGCAACGAUGCGUAGCCGACCUGAGAGGGGGAUCGGCCACACUGGAACUGAGCCACGGUCCAGACUCCUACGGGAGGCAGCAGUAGGGAAUCUUCCGCAAUGGGCGAAAGCCUGACGGAGCAACGCCGCGUGAGUGAAGAAGGUCUUCGGAUCGUAAAACUCUGUUAUUAGGGAAGAACAAAUGUGUAAGUAACUAUGCACGUCUUGACGGUACCUAAUCAGAAAGCCACGGCUAACUACGUG